GCCAACAGCGACGUCGGCACAAAGUGCACACGCCAUAUAAUGGCAUAUAUCCGAAUCUGGGCUUCGGCUGGCCAGAUGCCACAGCAUCAGUCGCUUUCCCGAUCUGGAGGGGUCUGGUCCAAGUAGUAGUACUAGUACUAGCAGAAAAAUCUGUUGGAGAACCGCUCUGUCCUCCAAAAGAGGCAUACUUUUGGGCUGCCCCGUGUUAAUAAUUCGGUUAAUAAUUCCUUUUUCCAAUUUCACUUCCCCUAUUUUUGAGUCAACUAAUAGCCAAGGGUUAAGUGUAUUAGUGACUCAGCUUUCGUGGCUGGUUCCUUCGAUCGUGAGUCAGGCCCACAAUUGCGGCCAACUCGCUUUCGACAUUGACCAGACGAAGGCAUUGGGGCAAGGAGAGCCGGCCACUGGGCCAGGCCGAUAUCUCGGAGCCAGGCCAGACCAGAGCAGCUGUCAAGGUUGGAGAGAAAGAGUCACGCAUGUGGGGAGAGUGGAUAGAGAGGAGAGGAAAGGUUGACCCAUACACCGACAUGAAAUUCCAUAAUAAAUUAGCCGCCAAGUGAGCGGGUUAGCCUGUUUUUGAAAGGCCUGCCUGCCCGCCUGCCUGCUGCUGCUCCACUGGGCGGCUAAUUAUUAUUCACGUGUAGAAUGUACUCGGCUUGGAUCGGCUCCAAUGUCAUUGCCACGGCCUCAGAGCACCGUCCGGAAGGUUAUUGCUGCCUGGGCUUCUAAUCUUCCACAGUGAGUGAGUGGUGCUCUUAACAACAACAAUAACAACAACAAGAAUAAUAAUGUGUUACGGUAAAAAUAACAACAACUCGACGUCAUCGGUAGAUAAUUUGGGAGUGAGAGCGGAAGAUUGAGAAGCUUCUGAUAAGACAGAGCCCGUCCGUCCGUCCAUCCCUCCGUCCGACAGAGCCGAUUUUGUAGGUGACCCCAGGCGAAGAGCGCGUUUGAAGGGCGCCACCACCUGACGGUACAGUGAUCGCCAGGAGUAUGCGCACAGAAAGUGGCAAGUCCAUCCCACUACUUACCCUCUUUUGUGGCUGCCAUUGUGCUGGAAAGGAGCUUCCGUUGGCUGUCGAUUGAAGAAAAACACACAAACGAAACCGUAAAAAAAAGGCAGAAGAAAAAGCAACUCUUUUGGCCCGCUUUUUUUUUAACAAUUAACCCGCUGUUGCGUUGCUCGCCGCGAUUUCACAAGCCUAGCGCUGUUUGCUCGCUCGCCGGAUGUCCAAACAACUGCCUGAUGGUUGAUGGUUGAUGGAUACUUGGCCACAAGAGACGGUGGACGCGUGCGUGAUGGGAUUCGGCUUGGGGAUUCGGUCAGCGGAGUUGCGGAUUCACGGAAUUGCGGUGGACUUGCGGAGCGUGGCCCUCGGAGCACAGAGUAAUGGAGCCAAGCGCGAUCGUUCCCUGACUGCGCCAGGCCGAGCACACAAAGCGUGCAUGAAGCAUUGGGCCGAUGGAACGAUGGAGCGAUGGAGCGUUGUAGCGGCGGCGGCACUGCCAAUGGCAACAACAGAAACGACGCUUUGUAACCGACGGCCGCGAUCGGCCAGGGACGGACUCGGGCGCCGAGGGUACUCUGGGCUCAGGGCACCAUUUCAUAUCUGUUCUGAUUUUUUGAAUAUAAUUAAUAUAAUUUUAAUAUAUUAAUAUAAUUUUGUAUAUAUUAAUAUAAUAUAAUUAAUAUAAUUUUGUAUAAAUUUUAUAAUUUUGUAUAUAAUUAAAUUUUAUACAAGUUUAUAGAUAUUAUACAUAAAUAAUAAAAAAUGUAUCAAUCCAUAAAUAUAUUAACUUAUAAAAUGUGUUUAUUGAAUUCCACAUCAGCUUAGUUUUGUCUGAAUAAUUAUGAAAAGUCACGUCUUUGGUCUAAACUUAUUUAAAAAGAAUUAAAAUCCAUACAUUUAAGAGCCAAGGCUCUUAAAAUACCUCAAUAGAAAGUUCAAGUUUAUUUAUUUUACCAAAUAAAGGCACCCAAAACGUAAGGGACUAUUAAAUAUACAUAUUUAUUAAAAAUUAAAAAGUAUAUGAAGAAUUUGUAAUUUAAAUUUUUACAGAAUUUCUUUUUUUAUUUUCUCUUUUUCAUAGCACCUACUAAUCCAAAAUUUUACAUUUUAAGAUAAUAGAUUAUUUUUUUUUUAUUAUACAAGCCAGUAUUAGAAAAAUGUAUCCUUUUAAAUCUUACAAAUAUUUAUUCAUCUGUGAAAUAAUUUUGCAAAUAUACAUUCCUAUAGUUUUCCGUCUCGACACCAAUAAACAAGCCAAUAUAAAUUAGUUUCAUUUAUUACACAUAUAGUAUUCUUAAUAAUUGAAUUAUUUAGUAUUGUUUUCGCCUGGUAGCACCCACUGCGGCCCCCGGCUAUGGUUUGUAACUUUGCGGCGCACAGGCCGCAGUGGCAUUGGGUUAUCCUAAUUAUUUUAUUGUGGCUGCAGACGGUAUCCUCCGUCCCAACAAGUCGUUUAGUUUCAUAAAAAAAAAAAUUAAAAGAAUUAAAAAGAAAGGUACACUCCUUCCCCGCUGAUCCGCCCACUCCGUCCCUGACUUAGCCGGUUCUCUGUCAUGCACUCAUCCGCAUACGCACAUACACUCACACGCAAGCACACACUCACACACACACACACACACACACACACACUGGCAAGUGUGGAGCACCGCAUGCGAUUGCUUUGCUGGCUGGUUCUCUGUUUACGCGAAACGGUUAAAGGUGGAGUAUGUAGGUGGAUGGUGGGGCUUGGGACUGGGGGGUGGGGGCUCGGGGCUUGGAGAGACGAGAAAGGGUAGCCGGCCAGUGUUGCCAGUCGAAUGAAAUUGAAAAUGGGUAUCGGAAUUAAUGUUAAAAAAAAAAAAAAACUAAAAAUCAACCUGGGACGAAAAACAAAACAGAUUUCUUGUACUAACAAGGAAAACGAACGCA